rnacentral:lncRNA from 1 species
UCACAGCAUCAUUUGAAAAUAGCACGUAAUAUCUUCGAAUACGUUGAGAGGAAAAGUCACUAACCACUGCCAGGUUCCUGUUCCCUUUGACCAGGGUUUUGAAGCCUUUUGGUGGGCUUAAUUGGACGGAUCCAUGUGAAGUUCAAAACGGAUUCCAUGGUCCACAAAAAUGAGGAAAAAAAAGCCAUUCAGAGAGAAGGCAUAGAACCAGGACCUACGCACCUGAAAUCCAAAAAGGACCAAAACCAUAGAGCCUGUGACAACUUGAUCCAGCACCAAGAACGAUGUGUGAAGUAUAUUGAAGAUAAAACCCAUGAACAUAAAUAAUGCCUUUUUAAAAAGUAAUGUUAAUUUACAUCAUUUUAAUAAUAUUCCUUCUUUACAGUGCUUUUACCUUCCUAAAUUAAAAUAUUAGUACUUCAUAGUCCUUUUCGUUCCACAAUUACUG